GAACUGCCAGGGGUACUUCAAUGCUGGUGAGAAGUACCCCAGAAAGAUGGUUGUCUGCAAAUCCCAAAAACUUGCAGGGACUAUGCGAACUCGCAGAGGCAUAAGGAACUUCCUCAAGAAAUGGCACUCUCCAAAGAAGUCAACCUGAAAGCAUGCAGCCAAUACUUUCUGAGAUGGCUCUGAGCAUCUCUGCUGACCAUUCCUCUCCUGCACUCACCCAAACUAUCCACUGUGGACAGCUCCAGUCCAGCCCAAUAAAAUUCCAGCUCAGAA